GAGUUUGAUCAUGGCUCAGAUUGAACGCUGGCGGCAGGCUUAACACAGCAAGUCGAGCGGGGAAGGGUAGCUUGCUACCUAACCUAGCGGCGGACGGGUGAGUAAUGCUUAGGAAUCUGCCUAUUAGUGGGGGACAACAUUCCGAAAGGAAUGCUAAUACCGCAUACGCCCUACGGGGGAAAGCAGGGGAUCUUCGGACCUUGCGCUAAUAGAUGAGCCUAAGUCAGAUUAGCUAGUUGGUGGGGUAAAGGCCUACCAAGGCGACGAUCUGUAGCGGGUCUGAGAGGAUGAUCCGCCACACUGGGACUGAGACACGGCCCAGACUCCUACGGGAGGCAGCAGUGGGGAAUAUUGGACAAUGGGCGCAAGCCUGAUCCAGCCAUGCCGCGUGUGUGAAGAAGGCCUUUUGGUUGUAAAGCACUUUAAGCGAGGAGGAGGCUACUUGGAUUAAUACUCUAGGAUAGUGGACGUUACUCGCAGAAUAAGCACCGGCUAACUCUGUGCCAGCAGCCGCGGUAAUAC
rnacentral:rRNA from 1 species